rnacentral:SRP_RNA from 1 species
GCCAGGCGUGGUGUUACGUGCCUGUAGUCCCAGCUCUUUGGGAGGCUGAGGCAGGAGGAUCGCUUGAGCCCAGGAGUUCUGGGCUGUAGUGCACGAUACCGAUCGGGUGUCUGCACUAAGUCUGGCAUCAAUAUGGUGAUCUUCUGGGAGCAGAGAACCACCAGAUUGCCUAAGCUGGGGUGAACCAGCCCAGGUCAGAAAUGGAGCAGGUCAAAACUCCUGUGCUGAUCCGUAGUAGGAUAGCGCCUAUGAAUAGUCACUGCACUCCUGGGCAACAUAGCAAGAUCCCGUCUCUG